UCUCCCGAUUUCUACCUGUUGUCUCCUGAUCUAUCAUCACCGAUGACCAAGCGAAUGCCUUCGGUAUUCCUUGAUCCAUUGUCGUUCAAUCUUGUUGGAUCUAUGCUCAAGGUCACCUCUCGAUCUCUUCUUCUUUGAUCGAUUUCUGCUGUGAGUAUGUGUUGGGUGUCACCGAUCGCUGGAAUAUCUGAUUCUAGCCAUUCCCUGGCUUGACGAGGAAUUUCUGGCCACAAGAAGGGUUAAGACUGGAUAGGGCCACCAAUUUUGGUAGAGGUCAUCAGUUUCCUGUCUCUCACAGUUGCAAUUAGAGAGGAAGUUACUUUGGAUUUAGAUUAAGGGUUGAUUUCAACAGAACAAUGUUUGGCGGAGGGAUAAGCAUCUAAUCGUUGUUCGCACAUCAGGGAUGUUGAUUCGAGACGAGUGUCUUGACGUGAGAUCCUUUGGA